rnacentral:lncRNA from 1 species
AAAGUUAAAUCAGUGUGACAAAGAGAAGUGCAUAGAAUCUUAAUUCGAACUUCGUAAGCUUGAGGUGGAUCAACUUGGAUCUCCUCUAUUACCAAUGCUUCUCCUGCUUUUCUACAUACUGCUGCUUUGCAUCGAAUCGGCUUUCCUUCGUUGAUGGUUAAUGAAGAUGUCAUGUCAAUGGUGAAUGAUGGAUUAUGAUGAACAAUGAUGGAGUGGAAAUGAGAGAGAGUCGUUUGUUCUUCCUAUUUUGUCUUUCUGAAUAUCUCACCAUGCCAAACGAUUCCCCAGUUCUUAUCGCUAACCUACUUUUAGAAUAAAGUAUUUUUGUAGUGGAGAUGUAUUAUUAAGCUACUUUAACUAAAAGGGUAUAAUAAUAAUUAAGCUCGUCUCUAUUCUACUGACAGUACGAAAAUGUUGUGUCUAUAUGUCUCGUAGUCUAUAACUCUAUACUCUAAUUAUUAUGUUCGUCUCUAUUGACGGCCUAAUUUUAUUUUGUCUUGAAGAUAUUUUUUUUUCUUUCAAAUGAAUCGUAAAGAAAAUGAAAACAUUGGCAGAUGAUUGUAUCGAUGCAAAACAUAUCCUGAGCUGGUGGUUGGUAGAAUAAUAAAAGAUUAAUAGCAGUAUAUAUAUACAUUUUUGAUCUUGAUUGAAUUUCAAUUAACCAACGUUUUAAUUAAUUGUGUGUUUAACUCGGACAUUUCAUUCUCUUUGAUAAAAGCGUUCUUUUAAGACUUGAAAACUUGACUAAGCUCAGUUGGUAGAGCUGAAGACUGUAGUUGUUAUCAACAGUUAAUCUUUAGGUCGAUCAUUUUUUUUUCUUGAAAAAGAAAAAGACGUAGCAAUUAAUUACUUAUCCAAAGUGGGUAAGCUGAUAUAAGUUUUAUAGGGCAGGCAUUAUUAAUUUAAUAUUGUUAGUAUAAUUUAGCUGAAAGAUUAGAAGACGAUUUCAGAUUUGAACUCAAUACAUAAGGGUAAAAAAUAAAGAGAUUUUGACCAAUGUGAAUUGAAGUAACCUUGCAAACUAAAUUUUUAAAGAUUUUGUAGAAUUGACCCUCAUCUCUCCAGAGUGGCUUCAGUCACUGCUUAUCCAUCCAUAGAAUGCAGCGAAGAGACCUCCCUUCCUCUAAUAAAUCGAAAGCCUUAUUGAUUUCCUCAAAAUCCAAUUCGUGUGUAAUAAAACUAUCCAGAUUGAGCUCCUGCAAUUAUAAAAAGAAACUUUAAAUCUCUUGAAAACAUAGUAGAUACUCAAUUACUCAUAUGUAGGUUGGAAAGAAGAAGUAAAACACUUUCUAUGAAGUUAAACACUAUUCUUUUCCACAAGGAACAUACUCUUCUUCUUCUUUUCCCAAGUAAUAUAUAUAUAUAUAUAUAUAUAUGUAUAUUUACCUUUUUGUUGGUUUUUGAAUUAACAUCUUCGUAAAGUGUUAAAAAAUGAAAUCUGAGUCCACAUAAAUUCAUUAAUAUAUAUAUAUACCUUUUUGAGGUAAUGAUCCACGAGAAUCGGAAUAUCUAGUUUGGAUUUUAAACCACCGAACAUGCUUCCGCAAAUACUUCUGCCUUUAAGAAGAUCAAAACUAGCCAAACUUAUUGGCGCUGCAUGCUUUCCCAUUCCCAACAUUAUCGUCUUUCCUGAUCCCUGUUUUGUUGUUUAUUAAUUUUUCAGUUGUUAAAGACAUUUUAAAUUGUAAAACAUUCCUUCUUUUUUUUUGGUUCAAGAAAAAUAAAAACAUUCGAUCUUUUAACCAAAAAAAAAUCGUAAAACAGUUUUGUUUAACCAAUAAAAUGAAUGAAUGAUGUUGAGCCGAUCGAGAAUCGAUAAGAUACGUUGUAAGCGUACCGUGCGGGUGCUGAUAAAAGCCUCACUUAGUAACGAAGCUAAACCAACGCAUUCGAAACUGUAGUCAACUCCUCCUCCUGUCAUCUCUUUAAUCACCUUUCAGGAAAAAAACAAACAAAAUCAUUAUUUUUGGCAAAUAGAUUGAUUAAUUAAUGCACGUAUGUAAUAUCUAUAUACGAAUGUAUAUGAAAAUGAUAUAAGAUAAAGGAAGAUAAAUAAUUUACCUCACUAAUCUUCUUUUCUCCGCACAACGUAGGAUUGACGAAAUCCGUGAAACCAAAUUUCUUACCUAUUCAAUUUUAAAAAUUAAAGAAAAUUCAAACAAUUAAUAAGUUUAUACAUGAUAAAUAAUAGGGUUCCUCCGUUUUCGAUAGGUGAUACUUAAUUUAUUAAUUUGAACUUUCUAAGCGAUGUUUUUUUUUUUUGACAAUGCAAACAAAUGAUUUAUUUAUCUAAUUGUCUUUUUAUUGCCAACUAACUAAACAUCUAUUCAUAGUACAGUACAUGGUUUUUAAUAUAGUGUUACUGUAUAAGAAUACUAAAUUACCAACCAAUGUGGUCAGUAUUAGCCAAACAAAGAAAUAGUAACUUUUAGCAAAGAAAUAGUACCUAGCUCGAAUUUAUCAGGAUUGAGAUCGAUACCGAUGAUCUUUGCGGCCCCACGCAAUCUGGCUCCCUCGGCAACCUUUUUUACCAAAUCAUAACUAACGUGUAUUAAAAAACUAAUUAUAUAAAUAUUAAACUGAUAACGAACUGUAAAAUGUGCUUUUCUUUUCCUUUAUAGAAUGAUUUAUUAUCAUAUUAUGGAAAAAAAGCAAAAAAAAAAAAUAAUAAUAAAAGAAAUACCGCAAGUCCAACAGCACCAAGGCCAAAGAUUGCAACGGUGGAGCCUUCCUCCACGUCAGCCACUUUCCAUGCAGCACCAACUCCUGCUCAAACGUGGCGCACCAUAAGGCCACGUAUGUACAAUUAUUUGACUUCUCAUAAAAUAACAAUCCCACCCCUAGUUUCUACUUUUCUUUAUGUUUUGACCCCAAAUAUAUUUAAAGUUAUUUAUAGCAACCCUACGGAUUACGGAAAUAGAAUUAAGAAUAGUGAAUAGAGUACCGGUGGAGACACCGCAGCUGAGCAAACAAGCUUUGUCAACGGGAAUGUCAUGUGAGAUUUUGACGAGAUGAGCGAUGUCAACGACGGUAUACUCAGUAAAACUCGAGACAAAGAGAAAAUGGUGAAUAUCUUCUCCGGACGAGUCUUUGAAUCUCGAAGCCAUCCCGUAUCGUCUCGUGUUUGAGAAGAACUCGUCGGCAAAUCUCGCGCACCAGUUGCUCUUUGAAGAUUUGCAGUCUUUGCAUUCUUCGCAUUGAGGGUGAAACACUGGCAAAACCACGUCGCCUUGCUUAAAUCCUUCAACGUUUUCUCCAAUGCUCUCCACCACACUGGAUUACGUAAUUAGGACAGAUUCUUGAUUAAUACUCACAAGAGACUAAUUAAAAUAUGCAUAUGAAUAAUGUAUCAUGUAAGAAUAUUCACCCGACUGCUUCGUGUCCUAGAAUCCUUGGAAACCUUGCAAGCGGCCCCUGGAACAAUCAUAAGGAUUUAGUGAAAUCGAAAUUUUGAAUGAAAUAUAGAUUCUGAGUUGACUUUGUGAUAUAUAAUAUUAUCAACUUACACUGUCUAUUUUCCAGAAAGUAACAUCGGUGUGACAAAGAGAAGUGCAUAGAAUCUUAAUCCGAACUUCGUAAGCUUGAGGUGGAUCAACUUGGAUCUCCUCUAUUACCAAUGCUUCUCCUGCUUUUCUACAUACUGCUGCUUUGCAUCGAAUCGGCUUUCCUUCGUUUAUGGAGAAUGAGGUCUUCUCCAUGGUGAUUAUGAGAUGCACACAAAUACACAAUAG